rnacentral:sRNA from 12 species
UGACCAGCAAUAUGCUAAAGGCUACACGGACGGCCGGGUCAGAUGCCGA